rnacentral:lncRNA from 1 species
GAACUCCUCCCCGUCGGGCAAAAUACCGUCCUCCUUGGGGAAGUAUCCCGCCUCCUCCAGCUGGACCAGGUCCUCAGGGCUCGUCGAAGACGGGAGAAGGUAGUCGUGAGCCCAAUCACCCUCCAUCGGAGCCAUCGGGACCACCGGAGGAUCCCCACGUGGGCGAAAGGCGACUUUCUUCUUCCUCGACGGUCGGUUCGCCGCUCGCUCCGCCGCGGAGCCCUUGGACGGCCCCCUCUCGAUCGCAGGCUCGGUGUCGGGACACGCCAUCUCACCUACGCAAACAAGGAAUCAACAACGGUUAGAUGGAAGUACGGGGAAAUCACAAAGAGACUAGCUAGCAAAAAAAAAAGGAAGAGAGGCCAAGCCUCCCAGGCCGAAGGCCUCGACCUGCCCGCGCGCAAGGAGAAAAAGGAAAGGGGAGCCCGAGCUCUACGGGCCUCCGGCCCACCAGUUCCUCGGCUCGCCCGCGCGCAAAAGAAAAAAAAAGGGAGAAAACUAUCGCCACGCCCUCCAAGUGUUCGGCGCAAUGCCGCACGCCGCUCGCGCACCCGCGUGUCGCGCCGGGCCCGUCCACGUCCUGCCGCGCAAGACUCGCCCGCGCCACUCCACGCGCGCCUGCGCGCCACACUGCGCGCACCUAUGCUGCUCCGCACGCGCUCCCGUGCGCCAUGCCUGCCCACACGCGCGCCCUGGGAAACGUGAAGCUCGCAUCCGCGCGCCGCUCCGUGCCGGCCCACUCCAAGCUCGCCCUUGUGCACACCGCACGCGCCCCGCGCGCGCCUCGACGAAC